UAUAAACCAACCCACUAACUCGAUCCGGAGCUUAUCAGCAAACCGACUCGAAGAAUCCGCCGCAAACACGAACUUGUCGCCGCCUCCGUCACCGUCAACGGUGUCUACUCCGUCUCCAGAGAAACCGACCCUCUCGCCUCCAAUUACAUCGAAAUUCCCCUGAUUGUGCUGCAAUCCAAGUCAAUCCUCACUCAGCAAUGGACCAAGAUCGGGUGGGGAAAGCUUGAAAGGCUCGAGCGUGUUGAUUAGGGGAAUGGUUCAUAGUGUCGAAGAAAAUGGUGUUUGGAGAGAGAGAAGGGGUUCACGGUCCUGCUAUACCUUCGAAAGUUGCAAAGAAUUUUGAUAAGAAAUAUGGAGGGCAUAUACAAGUGGUAAGUGAAAUGGAUGAAAGUGUGCAUACCUGAAAUCUCAACAAGAAAGUGCAGAGUGAUGCAGAGGAGUGGCAGGAGUGUAGUUGGAAAAGAUUGAAAUUGAAUGGAGAUGCACUUUGGAAAAUCUUAUCUUUGAGCCAUCUCUCAGGUUUAAAUGGAGCUGCAUCAGGACCCCAGUUGUACUCCAUUCUACCCAUGGAAUAUAGCAUGCUCCACUUUAUCAACAAAUAAAUUUGUUCCAUCUGAAGGAAAUUCAUACAAUACGUGGCGUUGGUGUGGUGUGUUCAAGCCUAAAAUCCCGUCUGUUAUUUCAUCAAGUUUAUCUAGUAAUACCAUUCUGAGGGGAAAAUAAGUUAAACUGUUGAGAUACCAGUCAUUGAGCUUUGACCGGCUUUUCUGUUUUUUUGCUUUUUAAUGAAUAUUUCAAUAGUGGGAUCCUUAAGCCUUGUUGAGGCAUAUUUUUUUAAUGUGAAAUAACUAUGUAAUAAUUUUUUAUUAAUAAGAUUGAUUAAUGGUUGAUUUUCUUA